rnacentral:rRNA from 1 species
ACCAGUACCGUGAGGGAAAGGUGAAAAGCACCCCGGGAGGGGAGUGAAACAGUACCUGAAACCGUGCGCCCACGAGCAGUCGGAGCACCUAUAUGGUGUGACGGCGUGCCUUUUGUAGAAUGAGCCAGCGAGUCGCUGGCGCGGGGCGAGGUUAACCGAAAGGGAGCCGGAGCGAAAGCGAGCCUUAACAGGGCGACUUGAGUCCCGCGCCGCGGACGCGAAGCCGGGUGAGCUAUCCGUGGGCAGGCUGAAGCGGGGGUAAGACCCCGUGGAGGGCCGAACGCACGUCGGUUGAAAACGGCGGCGAUGACCUGCGGAUAGGGGUGAAAGGCCAAUCAAACCCGGAGAUAUCUCGUUCUCCCCGAAAUAGCUUUAGGGCUAGCGUCGCGCGUUCACCGCCGGAGGUAGAGCACCGGAUGGACGAGGGGGCUUCGCCGCCUACCGAAUCCAACCGAACUCCGAAUGCCGGCGGCCCAGAGCGCGGCAGUCAGAGCAUGUGGGCUAAGCUGUGUGCUCGAGAGGGAAACAGCCCGGACCGCCCGCUAAGGUCCCCAAGUUCCAGCCGAGUGGCAAAGGAUGUGCGUCCGCCCAGACAACCAGGAUGUUGGCUUAGAAGCAGCCAUGCAUUCAAAGAGUGCGUAACAGCUCACUGGUCGAGUGGACAUGCGCCGACAAUACACGGGGCUAAGCUGGACACCGAAGCGGCGGGAUUUUGAUUUUCAGAAUCGGUAGGGGAGCUUCCCAUGGGCGGGGAAGCCGCCGGGCGACCGGCGGUGGAGCGCAUGGGAGUGAGAAUGCUGGCAUGAGUAGCGAGAGACGAGAGAGUAACUCGUCCGCCGUGAACCCGAGGUUUCCUGGGCAAGGCUAAUCCUCCCAGGGUCAGUCGGGGGCUAAGGCGAGGCCGGGAGGCGUAGCCGACGCGCAGCAGGCAGACAUUCCUGCACCGCGCACGCGGCGCUACGACCGACGGGGCGACGGAUGGGGGUGGCUCGGCGGGGUUCUGGACGUCCCCGUGAUGGAGCGCGGCCCGCGGACCAGGGAAAUCCGGUCCGCACGAGGGCGAGGCUCCGGACGAAGCGAUCAAGCGAAGCGAGUGAGCCCGAGGUCCCUAGAAAAACCCCUAGGCAGGCGCGUGCGCGCCCGUACCGCAAACCGACACAGGUGGGUGGGUAGAACAUACCGAGGCGAUCGGGUCAACCAUGGUCAAGGAACUCGGCACAAUGGCCCCGUAACUUCGGGAGAAGGGGUGCCCGCGCGUACGUGAACGGACUUGCUCCGGGAGCGGAGGCGGGCCGCAGUGGAGAGGCCCAAGCGACUGUUUACCAAAAACACAGGACUCUGCAGAAGCCGCAAGGCGACGUAUAGGGUCUGACGCCUGCCCGGUGCCGGAAGGUCACGCGGAGGAGUUAGCGCAUCGCGCGAAGCCCCGAAGCCAAGCCCCGGUAAACGGCGGCCGUAACUAUAACGGUCCUAAGGUAGCGAAAUUCCUUGUCGGGUAAGUUCCGACCUGCACGAAAGGCGCAACGACUUGGGCGCUGUCUCGACCAUGGACCCGGUGAAAUUGCACUGGUCGUGAAGAUGCGACUUACCCGCGGAAGGACGGAAAGACCCCGUGAACCUUCACUGCAGCUUGGCAUUGGCCGCUGGUCCCGCGUGUAGAGGAUAGGCAGGAGGCACAGAUCCGGAGGCGCCAGCCCCCGGGGAGCCGCCCUUGGAAUACUGCCCUCGCGCGACCGGCGUCCUAACCCGAGGCCGUCGACCGGCUCGGGGACCGUGCCAGGCGGGCAGUUUGACUGGGGCGGUCGCCUCCUAAAGGGUAACGGAGGCGCGCGAAGGUCCGCUCGGGACGGUCGGCAACCGUCCUUUUGAAUGCAAGAG